rnacentral:rRNA from 1 species
UACGAAGGGGGCUAGCGUUGCUCGGAAUCACUGGGCGUAAAGGGUGCGUAGGCGGGUCUUUAAGUCAGGGGUGAAAUCCUGGAGCUCAACUCCAGAACUGCCUUUGAUACUGGCAAUCUCGAGUCCGGGAGAGGUGAGUGGAACUGCGAGUGUAGAGGUGAAAUUCGUAGAUAUUCGCAAGAACACCGGUGGCGAAGGCGGCUCACUGGCUCGUAUCUGACGCUCAGGCGCGACAGCGUGGGGGAUCAAACAGG